rnacentral:rRNA from 1 species
UACGUAGGUGGCAAGCGUUGUCCGGAUUUAUUGGGUUUAAAGGGUGCGUAGGCGGUUUUUUAAGUCAGUGGUGAAAUACGGCAGCUUAACUGUCGAGGUGCCAUUGAUACUGGGAAACUUGAGUACUGAUGAGGUAGGCGGAAUGGACGGUGUAGCGGUGAAAUGCUUAGAGAUCGUCCAGAACACCGAUAGCGAAGGCAGCUUACUAAGGAGUAACUGACGCUGAGGCACGAAAGUGUGGGGAUCAAACAGG